rnacentral:lncRNA from 1 species
GGGGAAGAGUUGGAAAGAACUGCUGCAAAUGAUAGCAAAUCAGGAAGUUAAUGUGGGAGCCUGCCCAUUAGAAGCAGACAGCGGGAGAGAGGUCUCUGAAAGAAAUCAGUGAGUUGGUAAUCAAAUUAAUAAGUGAUUUUUUAGCAGUAGUGGAAAAGUUAUUGUAACUGUUCCAUAGCAGGCAACCUCAGCUGCUGGAAAUUUACCUCUUGUGUGGAGCAUAAGGAGAGUCUUUUCCCCACUUAAUCCUCAAUACAAAGUGUGAUGAGGCUUAUUCAGGACCUGGCAGAGGCAGCUCUCCGGACCAGCAGCCUCUUACUCGCCCUUCAGCAGCACUGACCCUGCAGCAGCCCCACAUCACCCACAGAGCAGUAGUUUUAUUCUGCAUAAUCAGAGCCAGAAGAAAAAACCAUCAAUGAGCAAGGCAAUCUAAUCAGCAUUUUCCUCCACACGGCAGUUAAAGGAAGCGUACAACCUGAGACCGCGGCGAGCAGAGCUCAAUAUCAGAGCUCGAGACACUGGUCAAUCAAUGAAACCAAGCUACUCAAGUGAAGGGCAGAGCGUGUGCAGCUGCUGUGCCUGGGCUCCAGUUGGGCAUCCUGUCUGCUGAUGGACAGCUGGGAGUUUCCUCACCUCUGAAGUCUCACACUGACUGCCUCCAAGCUUUCCUAAAACACCUCACACUCCCCCAGCGCAGUCUCUGAACCUCCUGACUCUGGCAGUAUUUGUCCUUCCAGGAACACAUUAUGCCUCAGAGCUGUGAUGCACAGAGCUCCCAAGGACGUAAGGAGAGCCCAUAAGCACUGAGACAAACCCAGAACUUGUCAUUUUGCUCCAUUUUCUCAUCUAGAAAAUAUAGAUGUUAGAUAAAGUUGCGCUGGGCUCCUGUAACCUUCUCAUUGACAGGACAUCCCACUGCAGGAAUCCAUCCAUAGAAGAGCUCCUGAGCGAGUACAUGCCCUAUCUCACACUGCCGUGGUGAUUUAAAGACACUUCUGUGCCCACUCCCACUCCUGCUGCCCCUCUUGGAGGAUGGAUAAGCUGCACAUCUGCCCAGCGGUGAACAGGUUCUGCAGCCUUUGCCUGAUGAUGAGCUGCCUGUGCCAGCUUCAAUUAGCUGCAAGGAGCCAGAGAGCGGUAGGAGAUGAAUCCAACUUCGUGCUCUCCCCUCUGACCUGCCUCAUUACUGAAAGAAAGGGGCAGCCCAAAGCACGUCGAUGCAGAAAAGACCCGUUGGGUCCUGAGAUCCAUCAUGCUGCUGGAGGAAGGGUGGCGACCACUCACCCUGUGCUUUAAAUCCCGAUCGGAUUUCAGAUGCUCAGUGUUAAUUGCCUCAGUACAAGGACUGACCCCGGACAGCAAAACUAAAAUUAAGUUUCAACUUAGAGAUCUGGAUGUGGCAUCUGGGUCAGCUCCUUCAUCUUUCCUGAACCUGAGGAGCAGUGCUACACCUUUGCUUCUGUCUGAAAUAAAAGCAGCUACGAAAGGAUAGUUUACUGGAGACAUCGGAAAGUAUGGAAAUCUCUCUCCAAACUGGGAAAUGGAAUACUGUGCACUGGGAAACACAAUGCAAACGCCUCAUUUUUGCUGUCCCUAACACAACAGAUUUCUAAAGCAGGUUAUUCUUGCCAUCUAUGGCUCUUUGCAGAGGAUUUCACAGUGCCAGCAGUGCCUACUGUAAAAUCUUGCAGGAAUUUAAUGAAACAUCGUUCAGAACACAUGCAUCAGCUCAGCGAGAGCCAUUCAACAGACCCUCUGCUGAGGGCCACACCAGAUUCUAAGAGGCACCUUUUUACCUUUAUCAAUCUGACUCCAAAGGCAGAACUAGCAACAAAUCUGAACUUGUGAAAUCCAACUUUUCACACCUUCUUGCUUUUUCUGGUGUUUCCAAGAAGCUUACAGCACCUGAAAACUGCAAUCCGCCAUAUGCUUCACUGGUUCUUAAAUUGCUCUUCAAUUCCCUUGCUCCUCCUUCACCAGCCGAGGUUCUGUCUCAAGGAUGCACCAGGGACAUGUGGGUUUAGGCCAAAAGGGCUCACACAGCUUGUGAUAGUUCCACUUCUUCCAGCAUUAAUCCACUUUAAUCCAACUGGAUCACACUCAGGCUUUGGCAGCACCGGUUCUGUUAAUAUUUAAAGGUUAACAAAUUCAACAGAUCCUGUGCAACUUAUAUAUACACAUCGAGAGCUUUGACUGAGAUUCUGUAAAAUGAGUUAAGGAAUGUGAAGGAGAUACCACACAACGACAGCAGGGGUAUUUUUUCCAUAAGAUGUGGAGCAUUAGAAUGCAAGUGCCAUAAUCAUGCUUCAAUAAUGAAGUGAUUUCAUGGAUAUCAGAGACAAAUACAGGAAGAUAUAAACUGUGCAGUUCUCAUACAAAUUCCUCACUGCUUGCAGAACAAACGCAUCCCCAAACCUCUAAAUACCUCGUGCAGGCACAGCAAAUAAAUGAUUUGGGGUGGGAGAUGACAAUCUCUGAGACCCAAGAGGAUGGGGGAAAGAUGCUGAGAGCUGUAAAAGAGCUGUCAAGUGUAUCAUCUUGCUGUUGCUCUCCUUGUUAAAGAUGCGAGAGCACUUGCAGCUGUUAAAUAUUGAGAAGGAGAAACAGCUUAACAUCCAAGUGUGGCCCUCAGAGGGAAUCUUACAGAGCAGUAAGAUUUUUAAAAAGAUGAUGAGAACUUGAGGGACACCAAAAAUCAUACUAAGAAAAGAUAACUACCAAAUGCAACUUCAAAAUACAUAAAAACACCUAACAAAGCCUUCCUCAAAGGCCCCGAUGGAAGAAAAGACGCUUGCUUACGUCUGUGACAUUUGUACCCAAUUCAAUAAAUUGAUGUUGUGACCGAGGCAUUCUGCACUCAAAUGCAGUAGAAAACAAAGGUCUUGACCAGCUCCAACCUUGAAAGAUACCAGUGCUCUUAGGAAGAGCAGACAUUGACGUGCGCUCAGGAUGACUGCACUCUGGCCAUUUCCCCCAGCUUCCAAUCUUCAUGGGAAAGAGCAUGCUUCUUCACCCAGCCCCGCACAGAGCAGCACAGGAGACAGCGUUAUUCCAGCAGAUGCUGCAGUGACAGACAAAAUAAACUAAAUAAAAAAAUAAAGAUUUCAAGAUCAAAGACGUGAUGUAAAACAAAGCUACAAAGAUGCAACAUUUUCU